rnacentral:rRNA from 1 species
UAAGUGCACGCCUAAGUAUGGUGAAACCGCGAAUGGCUCAUUAAAUCAGCUAUAAUUUAUUGGACUAUAAAUCACGUUAUAUGGAUAACUGUAAUAAUUCUAGAGCUAAUACAUGCCGAUAUGCCCUGAGCUGAUCACUCUUACUCACUUCUGUGAUAAGUAAGUAAGUGAUUAGUGAUGGGUGCACUUAUUAGUAUAAAAGCCAACCAGCCGCACAAGCUCAUGCUCAUGCUAAGGCUGAUAAUGAUAUUGGUAGAUGAGUCUGGAUAAUUGUUGCAGAUCGCAUUAUGCGGCGACGGGUCCUUCAAAUGUCUGCCCUAUCAACUUUCGAUGGUAGGUGAUCUGCCUACCAUGGUGCUAACGGGUAACGGGGAAUCAGGGUUCGAUUCCGGAGAGGGAGCUUGAGAAAUGGCUACCACUUCCAAGGAAGGCAGCAGGCGCGCAAAUUACCCACUCCCGGCACGGAGGUGGU